rnacentral:lncRNA from 1 species
UUUGCUGCUGUUACUUGUCUUGCUUUGCUGCUACUGUUGCUACUAUUGUCACUUGCUACUGUUGUCACUACUGAUGUUCCUUGCCACUGCUAUUACUCAUUACACUGAUGCUACUUGCUACAAUCUUGAUUCGCUGGUCGCUGAUGGGAACACACAAUUUCCGUCAACGAGGCAACUUGGCGCCAUUGAUACAAUCGUUAGGAAUAGUCUGCCGUCAA